ACGAACAGUUAGUGCUGAUUUUCAUUUGCAUAAAUUUUCAUAUAUUUUAGUGAAAAUAAUAGCGGCAGCCGAGGAGAGCUCCUGCUCAGUUAGAGGAAAGAAAAUCUGAGGGAGCGGAGAGUCGCGGGGAAAAAGGGGGAGAUAACAUUGACGGUGUGAAGGAAGUGAAGAUUUUCUUGCUUUUCUUGGACAGGAGGAGAGCAACACCCUCUAUUCACACACCACACACACACACACCCAUACACCACACACACGCACACACUCUUAACUUUGCUCCUUCUAUGACACCCCUCCCAGUCCCCAAUCUUCCCCAAUGGAUGCUGAGUCUCUGGAGGGGAAGCCGGAGCCGUGGAUGGUGGUGGAAAUGAGCUCGGCCGUGCAGUAAGUGUGGCGACCUCGUGGCUAACCCUACACUGUUUCCAGCAAGCUCUCUUCUAAAUGAUGCCUACUGUAUCCUGCCCAGGAGGAGGAAGGGGAAGGAGGGCACCCCGUCCUCCCUCCUCUUCCCAUUUUAUUCUUGUCUGACUGUCCAGCAGCAAAGAAUUGUACCAAUUCUGUCUUCGAGGGACAUUUUGACUGCUCACAUGUGACAAAAAUGACUUAUGAACUUGCAUGCAUCUGUUUUUAUAAUACAGGUUUUAAAAAAAGUCUAAGAAAAUGUUUUUUGUGCAAAAAACUCUUAAAAAAAUUAAACAGAAAGA